UACGGAGGGUACAAGCGUUGUCCGGAAUCACUGGGCGUAAAGGGCGCGUAGGCGGCUCAUGAAGGCUGUGGUGAAAGUCCGGGGCUCAACCUCGGAUCGGCCGUGGCGACUCGUGGGCUGGAGCACUGUAGAGGCGGGUGGAAUUCCGGGUGUAGCGGUGGAAUGCGUAGAGAUGCGGAGGAACACCGAUGGCGAAGGCAGCCCCCUGGGCUGACACUGACGCUCAGGCACGAAAGCGUGGGGAGCAAACAGG
rnacentral:rRNA from 1 species